AGAGUUUGAUCCUGGCUCAGGACGAACGCUGGCGGCGUGCCUAAUACAUGCAAGUCGAGCGAACUCUUAGCUUUCCUUCGGGAAAGCUCUGGGUUAGCGGCGGACGGGUGAGUAACACGUAGGCAACCUGCCCACAAGAUCGGGAUAACUAGCGGAAACGUUAGCUAAAACCGGAUACGUCCAGAGGAUGCAUGUCCUUU
rnacentral:rRNA from 1 species